rnacentral:lncRNA from 1 species
CUUUUUAAGAUGCUUCUUGUUUUAUUUAAUUUAACUCUAAUUAGUACCCCUGUUGAGCAUGCGCCAGUGUCUACCAGCUCUGCCUCUGCUCCUGUGCCAGUUGCUUCAGCCAAUCAGCCUGCUACUGCUACUCAAAACACAUCCAGUCAGAUGACACCACCAUCAGCCACUCCCAUCUCUGUAGUACAAGAUUCCUUCUCUUCCUCUUUCCAAAGCUUCAACCGGCAUUCUUCCACCUCCAUCAGCUACCAGUCAAAAAAGAGAGGUACGGGCCAGUCCUAUACAUCAACACCGGUUUCCCAGGGUACCGCUUCUUCCUCAGGCUACAGUGAAAGUCCAGUUCCUGCUCCAAAACCAAGAGUUGUCACUACUGCUAGCAUAAGGCCCUCUGUCUACCAGCCAGGUAAGGUGAUUUCAAAAAGGUGAAAGGGUCCAUACCAAUGUCCAGUAGCAUU